rnacentral:misc_RNA from 1 species
GGACGACACGCUCCAAGAGUCAAUCAUGAUAUGAAAGCGGCAAUGAUGGUAGGAAAAUCGUCAAUACCUCCCUAAAACAUUUCAUAUUGGGGAACCGGACAAAGCAUUGGUCGAAUUCAACAAUAUGUACGGUUGACAACGACGGAAAAGUAGUUGGCCAACAACUCUUGGAUACUGUGGUGAGCAACCUAGUCAAUUAAGC